rnacentral:rRNA from 1 species
UACGUAGGGACCAAGCGUUGUUCGGAUUUACUGGGCGUAAAGGGCGCGUAGGCGGCAUGACAAGUCACUUGUGAAAUCUCCGGGCUUAACUCGGAACGGUCAAGUGAUACUGUCGCGCUAGAGUGCGGAAGGGGCAAUCAGAAUUCUUGGUGUAGCGGUGAAAUGCGUAGAUAUCGUAAGGAAGACCAGUGGCGAAGGCGGGUCUCUGGACAGUGCCUGACGCUGAGGCACGAAGGCCAGGGGAGCAAACGGG